rnacentral:tmRNA from 1 species
GGGGAUGAUCGGUUUCGACAUUGCUUGUGAUUCUGCGUGAAGCGGGCCGAGGAUGCAGGGUUAUCUCGUUAACGCUCCUUGCAAACCAAUAAGUGCCGAAACCAAGCGCACUGACUUCGCCCUCGCUGCAUAAGCGAGCCCGAUAGUCCGUCGGACCGUAGGUGUUCCCGCUACGGAUCCCGGCGUCAUUUAGGGGACUAGCUGCGUGACGGCGCCUCGACGUCACGCGGGACUUUUCCGGGGCUGGGCUCGUCGACUUGGGUGUCUGUGACAAAGGUCGGAGCCGAGUAGAACGUCUGCACAGACUGCGCCCGGAGAAACCGCACUUUCCCAGUGAUGGACGGGGGUUCGAUUCCCCCCAUCUCCACUG